rnacentral:rRNA from 1 species
GACGAACGCUGGCGGCGUGCCUAAUACAUGCAAGUAGAACGCUGAAGGAGGAGCUUGCUCUUCUGGAUGAGUUGCGAACGGGUGAGUAACGCGUAGGUAACCUGCCUGGUAGCGGGGGAUAACUAUUGGAAACGAUAGCUAAUACCGCAUAAGAGUAGAUGUUGCAUGACAUUUGCUUAAAAGGUGCAAUUGCAUCACUACCAGAUGGACCUGCGUUGUAUUAGCUAGUUGGUGGGGUAACGGCUCACCAAGGCGACGAUACAUAGCCGACCUGAGAGGGUGAUCGGCCACACUGGGACUGAGACACGGCCCAGACUACUACGGGAGGCAGCAGUAGGGAAUCUUCGGCAAUGGACGGAAGUCUGACCGAGCAACGCCGCGUGAGUGAAGAAGGUUUUCGGAUCGUAAAGCUCUGUUGUAAGAGAAGAACGAGUGUGAGAGUGGAAAGUUCACACUGUGACGGUAUCUUACCAGAAAGGGACGGCUAACUACGUG